UUCCAAAGUCAAUUUUUCCCUUUUUUUAGAGACAAGGGCAGUCAUUUGUGUUUAGGGAGGGAGACAGGUACAGAGCCUUUAUCUGAUCUGCGUCCCCAGCCACCAGCACCUUCCUAAUCGACGGCAGAUCCCCACUCUGGAGGAUCUGGCCCUGUCUGGGUUACUUCUUAGCCAAGGAAUGUUUCCUUCCCUUCAUCUCCUCAUGUCUCACCUGUGAUGCGUGUUGCUUUUUGAGCAGGGAAUAACACACUGUUUACCACACAGCCCAGUUUCAAAGCCUUUGUGCAUUUCUCAUCUCCAGCGAAAGCUUAUUAUUUACCACCCUAAAAAUCCACCAGGUUAAGGGAUAGCAGAAGUUAUUUUCCUCGUUUUUACACCCCAAUUUUCACACAGCAAAUGCCCUGCAUUAGGAGCAGAUCCCACUCAGAUGGAAGUUAUUAACUUUCAGCAGAACAGGGCGAUUUCAGCCAGCCACAGCCUGUGCCCUUCGAACACGGUCGCUUUGCAGCAUCCCCGUGUUUAUUUUUUUUCUUUGGAGGGCAUGAUUCUUUAAACAUAUUUGUUUUACACAGAGCAGCAGUUGAAUCCUAACUUUUUUUUUCCCCCCACAAACACGUAAAGAGAAUAUUAAUAGGGAAUAUUAACAGAGGUGAGUGCAGCAUGACGCUAGUUAGGUUGUAGUAGCUGAGAAAUAUGAACUAGUGAACAUAAUCCAUAAACUCCAUUUGGUUACUAUAAUACUCCAAUCUGUAUUUAUUACAACCCCACUCUGAUGCUUAUACAACUGCAAUUGCUAGAUUUAUACACUCUAAUGAUUUCACAAUAGGAAAAACCUGUGUCUUUAUCUUUCUUUUCCUGUCCAAAAUAACCCCUUCCACAUAUACUUCAGGCUUCUCCGGACCUUGUCUGGGUUUAAUCACAGGCUUUGGGACAAAAUGUGCAUUAUUAAGAAGUAUAAAUAUUUUCAGAAGCAAUCAAAGGGUUGAAAGAUUGAUUCGGCAUGUAGAUUGGAUUUAAUUCGAAGCAGCUUUGUUCUAAUGAGGACUACUGGGAUACAAAGACGGCAGCCGCUUAUGGCCACCAGUUGGGAACUUCCACUCGCUGCAGCAACCUGUCAAGAAUUCCAAGGAACUGCCAGGGUAAAAUUGCCUGCAGGGUACGUUUGCUGAAGCCUGUUAAUUCCUCCUGAGGUCAGUGGGUACCGGGUGCUGGGCAGCACAGCCUCUCCUGGCCGGGCACGGUGGGCUCCGGCUGCUUCCCAAGAGACAGGGACAGCAGUGAAGAAUGUGGGAUUUCCCACAGGAAUUUUGGAAGAUGCCCAUGUCUAAGACAAUGGUGAGGAUUGGGUCAAAAUCCAGAUGCAGCCUUGAUUCCUUCAUCCAAGUGACCCUGUGCUGACCCACGGCUGCUGAUGGAUCGCAGCGACGUGGACCUUCCUCCCUCCCUCUCGCUGCCCUGCAUCAGAUCACCAGGAGGACCUGAGAGUACUGGAUGAACCAUCACAAGACUGUGAUUGGAAAGCAGGGGGACCAAGCCCUCAGGGAGGUGGCUGAUGCAGCUGGUUCCCUGGCCCUGGGCUCAGCUCUUGCUCAUGGCACAAGCACCAGAGGCCAGAGGUGGGGACUGUUUCUGUCUUGGCUACUCCUCAUCAGUGCUUUGAGCUGCAGGAAGCCCUGAGAACCAAGGAAACACGAGUGCACCACCAGGGAUUUCCUUCUCUCUACACCUGAAGCACAGCACAAAGUUCCACCCUUUGCUUCUGCAGCAAGUUCUUGUUACCCAAUUCCUGCUGACAGCAGAGGAAGAGGCACAAGUCAGCUCAGAAAAUGAACGACUAGAAGACUCAGUGAUACUGAACCAUCCUGGUUCCUGCUUUCAGGCUGGGGCCACAAGUUGGACUUGGAAGAAGGAACUUCCAUGCAGAGAUGUGGCUGCAGUGUGAAUACUGUGCCAGGAUUUCCCCUGGGAGAUAACCUCAGCCAUGACUGCACGAGGCUUGUGGGGUGACUGAUUUGCAAAGGAACAGCUGCAUUUUGAGGUGGCUCUGGGGCAGCCACGUCCCCACUCUUCUGAGGCUCUUAAAGAUAUUUGUGAGCUGGCAUGAGAAAUCACCUGGGACUCAGAGCAGACCACAAGUGCUUAGGACAGUGUUUUCUCUGCACCUUUUCUUGCUGAGCAGAACUGCAGCACUAUAAACAAAUGUGAGUUUUGCCUCAUUCUUAGGUCCUGUGAGUUAUGAAAGCCCACUCCAGAUGUAAUGAAUGUAUAGAUCACUUUGACCAGAUCAUAAUCUAUUAGUAAAUAAUGCUCUCUGAAAAUGUAUAGGUGAAAUAAAGAACUUCUUGCUACUA